rnacentral:rRNA from 1 species
AGGGCACCACCAGGAGUGGAGCCUGCGGCUUAAUUUGACUCAACACGGGAAAACUCACCCGGCCCGGACACUGGAAGGAUUGACAGAUUGAGAGCUCUUUCUUGAUUCAGUGGGUGGUGGUGCAUGGCCGUUCUUAGUUGGUGGAGUGAUUUGUCUGGUUAAUUCCGAUAACGAACGAGACUCUAGCCUACUAAAUAGAUAGUCGGCUUACAAACGUCGACUAGACUUCUUAGAGGGACAGGCGGUGAUUCAACCGCACGAAACAAAGCAAUAACAGGUCUGUGAUGCCCUUAGAUGUCCGGGGCCGCACGCGCGCUACACUGAAGUGAUCAGCGUGCUUUUUCAGCCUACUCUGUCAAGAGUGGGAAACCCAAUGAACCUUCUUCGUGAUUGGGAUAGGGGAUUGUAAUUAUUCCCCUUGAACGAGGAAUUCCCAGUAAGCGCGAGUCAUAAGCUCGCGUUGAUUACGUCCCUGCCCUUUGUACACACCGCCCGUCGCUACUACCGAUUGAAUGUUUU